rnacentral:misc_RNA from 1 species
AGCACUCAACCGUUGAAAGUGUUACCACACCUUAAAAAUUUCAGUGUUAGUCAGAGUCCGAAUCGGAAUCUGUUGAAUUUUUCGAAAUAAACAAAGCCAAACUACGAUUGACCAAAAACCCAAAGACUACUGGAUCCUCACCAAUAAAAUACCACAAAAAAUACGCAAAAUUAAAUGAAGUGAAUAUAAAACUAAAACCACCCUGGGCCCUACCAUUGCCCAGGGUAGAAAAUCCUAGAGAACUUUCAUUGUGUUUUGUGCCAGGGCCAGAGCCCUAAUGAAAUUAAAGAUCUUUCAAUAAUGGCACUGCAGGAACCUAUAUACCUUUUAUUAAGCAAUGGAUCCCUCUUUUUUUGAAGAAAAUUCAGAAAAAUCAAGUAAGUCUCGCCGUGAAAUAAAUAUUUAAGAUAAUGAAAAGCAUCCAUCAUAAGCGAAAACCUUGUGAAAGGUGGAUUUCUGUCUCAUUUUGUUGUAAGCAAAUGAUUGCGUUUUAUGGGGCCUGCCAACUCGAUCCAAAACGAUGCUUUUGAGGUUAUGUAUGUGUGCCGCAGUAAGGCUUAGGCAAAAUCAAUUUUGCAAUAUAACUUUGAGUAAAACUUAAAUUGAAUCAACAAAGGAAACGCAAAGGAACGGAAAGGAAGAUGAUGCCUGGUCCUGGUCCUGGUCCCCGGUGUUCUCCUGGCAUUCU